rnacentral:rRNA from 1 species
GGCCGCGGCCAUAUCAUGUUGUCAACACCUGUUUUCGUUUGAUCACCGAAGUUAAGCAAUGUCGGGCCGGGUUGGUAUUUGCAGGGGUGACCGGCUGAGAAUACCGGGUGUUACAGCCG